GAUGAACGCUGGCGGCGUGCCUAAUACAUGCAAGUCGAGCGAACCACUUCGGAGGAGAGCGGCGAACGGGUGAGUAACGCGUAGGUCAUCUACCCAUUAGACGGGGAUAACGUUUGGAAACGAACGCUAAUACCGGAUAGGAAGAAAUUUUAAAGGUGCUUUCGGGCACCGCUAAUGGAUGAGCCUGCGGCGCAUUAGCUAGUUGGUAAGGUAAGAGCUUACCAAGGCGACGAUGCGUAGCCGACCCGAGAGGGUGAACGGCCACACUGGGACUGAGACACGGCCCAGAAUCCUACGGGAGGCAGCAGUAGGGAAUCUUCGGCAAUGGACGAAAGUCUGACCGAGCAACGCCGCGUGAAUGAAGAAGGCCUUCGGGUUGUAAAAUUCUGUUGAUAGGGACGAAGGGCGAAGGGUUAAUAGCCCCUAGCCUGACGGUACCUUUCGAGGAAGCCCCGGCUAACUACGUGCCAGCCGCCGCAGUAACAC
rnacentral:rRNA from 1 species